AGAAAUCGUUGAAAAUCCAAACUAUUUCUAUAGUCGAAAGCAUGCUGGACUUCCCACCACCCAAUAUCUUGUUGUCGAUUUAAUGUCGAGCAAUAACCAUCAAAGUGAUUAAAUCGAACGGCCUUCAAAAAUUCAACUCCAUACCCAAACUUAUUACAUUUAACAAUUUCAUCAUUACAGAAUUAUAAUAAAAAUCCAUGCACAUCACACGAUCAAACUAAUUCAGCUUUAAACUCAACAAUUCCAUAGCUAUAAUCAGAUCGCAGUGAAGACGGAGACGACCAAACCGUAGAAGAAAACAAAUGCAACCCCCCAAGAGCCGGCGACAAAAUCAGGUCGGUGUUUGGACCCACCGGAGCUCCCUCCUGGGAGCGGCGUCGCUGAUGUCGAUGUAGCCGGCGUCGCCGUCGCCGUAGAAGCGUUGGUGAAUAUGGCUGCCUCCGGCGAGUUUGGAGCUAAGCCAAGGAGUCCUGUUACACCCAAAAAAGAAAUAUUAAGUACUAAUUAAAACCUCGUCCGGACCACAACCGAAUCACCCAACCCACCUCCAAGCCAAAUUAGUAUAAAUUUCCAUAUCUCAUCUAAGUCCACUUUUCUUACAUAUACAUUGACUCGGUGCAUUUCUACUCGGUUCUAUCGACUUUUCUCGACGAACCUGGGCAGUAGCUAACGCUGGCGUUGGCGAGCUGGCAAGUGGAAGGGAGCUGAAUCAACUUAGCCUCCUGCACGCCGAGGCUCCUGAACUGAGAACCACCGUUGUGAGUCUGCAUCAUGAUGUAACAUAAGCACUUGGGCUUGUUCUCCUUGGUGGCUUUGGUGUUGUCACAGCACUCUUUGGAAGGUGAAGCUUGCUUGCCUUGUGCAAACGCCAAGCAUGGCAUCACCCCUUGGAUCUCCUUGCUGCAGUCCUUCGCCAGAUUGUCGUCGGAGCCUUCAUGAGUGACGGCGGAAGCGGCGGUGAGGGAAAGGCAGAUGAGGAGGAGGAAACUAGUGGGUUUCAUGUUGAUGGUUGAUGGGAGAAUUGAUGGGUUUGUGAAGGUUGGGAUAUAUGGGGGUAGUGGAGUUGAUUCAAUUUUGUGGGUUGGUUUUUUCAAUGGAGUAUGUUUAUGGUUUGGAAUCGGAUCGGAUCGGAUCGGUCAGGGGCGGUGAUAGGGGGUAAUUGGGGUUUGUUCUUGCUCACCUAAUUUUCGAUCCCAAGCAUUAGAAUUUGUGUAUAUGUUUAUGAUUUUUUUGAAUCCGGCUCGUUAGUUCAAUUCCGUGCUUGGUCAUGUUAGAAUUAGAGGGAGUCACAAAGAGGUCGGACAUUUUUUAGUUCCAAUUACCAAACCAUAUUAUAAGAUUUUGAUGAUUUUGUAAUUCGCCUUGUGAUAAAUUUUUUAUUAAAAUUCGUCCCAAAGCAUGUUAUAAUCCUGGUUCUUCCCUCUUGAAUUCGAUAGACACUAGUCCGUUAUGGUUCAUUUGGAGCAGCAAUGGAGACCAAUCUAAUCUCGAUUCAAGCACGAUCCGAGCGUUCUGCUCUGGUUUGAUCCUCGAUCAAAGUCAAACUUGACGAUGAAGUCUCUCAUUAUAUGAAAUAGGGUCCAUUUGGCUAUUGAAUUCUCUUGCUGUGGACAACUGUUUUGUAUUCGGUAGAGCGCCAUCAAUGCAGAGCGGCAAAUUUGAUCGGACUGAGUAGUUGGGAAGCUUUGAGAUAGCGACGGUGACGGCCAAGAUAGUAUUCGAGUUUGUUGGGACUAAUAAAUACAUCGACGUACCCAACUCCCAUCACCCCCAUAAAAAGAAACAAAGCCACAUGGGACUCCAACACACCAUAAAUUUUGGUCAUUUUUGGUCAUGCGGGAAUAGUUCAGGUACUAUCGAGUCGGAUCAAUCAUUUUGAAUGAGUCUGUUUGGCGAACUCGAUUGAGAUCGGUUGGUGGUAGUAAGAGGCGGUGGUGCAGUAGUCGCUCUUUUCUACUUUUAUCGACCUUGGGUGAACCAAUAUGGGCGAAGGCUGUUGUGUCUAGCCGAUUUGGCUAUAGCGUCCGCUUGAUGAUUGGUAGAUCGACGAGUAUAGGCCACUUUGAUAUUGGGGUUCCGGGAGGUGACCUCCAUAAUGCUUCCCAAAUAUUCAAGGUAUUGUCAUGGCCAUCUAUGCUUAGGGUUGGGUGUUGUCUUGAUAGGCAGUCAGAGUAGAUGACCGUGAGAGCAUGUAGUCGAGCAGGAAGCUCUACUGCCUCGAAUAGGGCCCUGGCUUCCGAGGCGAUAAUAGAUGCACAAAGGAAUCUUCCCACCCUCCAGUCCACUAGGGUCCCUUCGGCAUUUCAAUUUGGAGAAUUGUCAUGGUUGAUCCUGUCAAGUGAACAUGGUAACGAUCAAGGUUGUCCCUAAGGCAAAUAUGUGUGCAGUGGAUCAUAUCAUGUUGUUUUACGAGUAACGAUCCCCAAUUUCUUUUACAGCGUUGUUUGAAGCUUUCCACGACAAGCUGAGCAAAGCAGAGAACAAACCCUUCAACAGAAUCUACACAGGACCGAUGAUCCGACUGGAUAGUACCCUACUGUACAAUUUAUGUUGUGUUGGAAUCUAAUUUAAACCGUGUGAUAAAUUCAGAUGAAUAGAGAUAGAAGAAUAGAAGACAACAACCAAAACAUCAACUAAUAAUAAAGCAAAACACAAAUGUCUGACGAAUUCAAGACAUAAAUAAAAACAACCCGACUCUUAAGGUCCUAUAACGGUUAUAAUUCAAAACACCGACGACAUUGUUUCAUAGCAAACAACACGACUAAUCCAAAAUCGGACAACAUUUUCCAAGCGAUCUAUCUAACUCUCGGUCUGCUCCCUCAAUCGACGGAUGGUACUC
rnacentral:lncRNA from 1 species